GUGCCAGCCGCCGCGGUAAUACGUAGGGUGCGAGCGUUAAUCGGAAUUACUGGGCGUAAAGCGUGCGUAGGCGGUCCUCCAAGUCCGCUGUGAAAGCCCCGGGCUCAACCUGGGAAUUGCAGUGGAAACUAUGGGACUUGAAUCUGGCAGAGGGGGGUGGAAUGCCACGUGUAGCAGUGAAAUGCGUAGAGAUGUGGCGGAACACCGAUGGCGAAGGCAGCCCCCUGGGCUGAGAUUGACGCUCAGGCACGAAAGCGUGGGGAGCAAACAGGAUUAGAAACCCCUGUAGUCC
rnacentral:rRNA from 1 species